CCCGGCCUGACCGCUACCAGCAGGCGGUGCUGGCGCAGCAGCAGCAGCAGCAGCACGGCUACCUGCAGCAGGCUGCUUUCGGCGGCCCGCCGCCGAGCGUACCCCGGUACCCGACCUACUGAGGCCAGUCGACUGGUCCGCCGUCCAGCCGGCCCGACAGGGGCACGGAGGACGCGUAAGGCUCAGCCCGGAGUUCAGAACAGAAUGGUUUGGCCAGAGGUGGGCGAGAGCCUGUACAUGGGCCAGCUGUGGGCAGGGCUGCUGCACGGAAUGUGGACAGGAUUUCUGCUCUCACUGCCCGCGCACCCCCUGUGCGGGAUGUGCGGUGAGGCACGAUCGCUGUACGGGCUGUGGACAGUACCAAGAUCACAGUGCUCGCUGCUGGUGAGGUUUACCGAGUGGGGGCGCGCUGACGCGGGCGAGUCAACGCAGCCACGAACGGCCGAGGCACGAGGCGGUGCGAAGCUCCGCGCUCGGCGUCCACCGCGCUGGCGUCUCAUCCGGCGGAGCGGUCAUUCCAGCUGUGAUUUACGCCGGAAGCGUGACGGACGUGGUGGGCCGGGCACCGCGGGGACUCCCACUCACGGCGGGCGGUGGCCGGCAGGCUGCGGUCGCCGGCGCAAAGGCGUGGCCGCGCCGCAGCGUGAUAAUCCGUGAUGAAUUGAUGUUGUUCAUACAAUGCGCGAAUGCCUUAUCGGAGGCGUUUUAAGAGAGGAGUAAAGGCGGAAGUGAAUAGGCUUUAGACCGACGACCAGUGAGCCGGAGGCUGCCUUUUUACGAUGUUUGUCACGAGUGGUGGCAAAAACUAUCGGUGUCACGAAAGUGAUACUGAUGGUUUUUAAGUGCGACACCGGCACGUGCAGGGCUGUGAAAGGUUUGGAAGUGCCGGUCUGACCCAGUUGUUCCGAUCCUUCAAUUCCACAGCCUUAGACUCCGUGUCUGUGGACAGCGUGUCUGUGCGUCCUGUGCCAUCGCGAGCCAACGUGCGGUACCUCUCCAGGCUGGCUGGACGGCCACGCCCUCCAGUCACAGCGCCUGCCCGCCCCCGACAGAAAACACCCAGUCAGCAGCCAGCUCUCUUGGCUGACACGGGGCGUCAGCAGGCGUCGAAACUAAGUUCCGUCCAUCGGUCAAUAGAUGGCACUGUAGCCGGGCGCGGACUAAGGCAGGCUCUAGGCUGAGUCCAGAAUACCACCUGCACCUUCCGAACACGGUGUUCUGUUUCGUGGUGGGUUGCAGCGAUUUGGAAAGGAACUCACUGAUCUUUUCGAUGCUUGUGAUCUAAACUUUUCUCAGUCCAGCCACCUGGAUCCAAAGAAUAAAACAUCACCGCCCCAUCGCCCUUGAAAACCGAUGUACGUGGACCGUAAGUCCUCUUGGCCAUUCUUGGUGGUCCGUUGCGGGGUGCGCUCCCAUUGGUCGGCACCCCUCUGGUCCGACCCGUCCAGCCAGAAUGGAAUCGAUUGAGCCGCGCAGGGCCGUGGAUUGCGAGAACAGCCUGUGGUCGGACACACCAGCUGGUGGCAAGAACUAGUCUCGGUGAUGGUUCGCCGGUGCUGCGGAAAGGACCGCGUGAGAUCAGUCGCCCCACCAUGUGUGCAUGUCAGUUGCGUUCAGCCAGGGUGAGAUUUGAGUGCAGUGAUUGUGCUGCUGAUGUUUGGGUGCUGAAAUGGGCGCACGAUGUCAUCUUAGUUGUCUGUUCUGUAAUCUUACCAUCCAGACGUGUAUGCAUGGAUAUCAAUAAAUUCAUCGUCUAUGUU